AUUGCCCUAGUAACGGCGAGUGAAGCGGCAACAGCUCAAAUUUGAAAUCUGGCCUUCGGGUCCGAGUUGUAAUUUGUAGAGGAUGCUUUUGGUGAGGUGCCUUCCGAGUUCCCUGGAACGGGACGCCAUAGAGGGUGAGAGCCCCGUCUGGUUGGACACCGAUCCUCUGUAAAGCUCCUUCAACGAGUCGAGUAGUUUGGGAAUGCUGCUCUAAAUGGGAGGUAUAUGUCUUCUAAAGCUAAAUAUUGGCCAGAGACCGAUAGCGCACAAGUAGAGUGAUCGAAAGAUGAAAAGCACUUUGAAAAGAGAGUUAAAAAGUACGUGAAAUUGUUGAAAGGGAAGCGCUCAUGACCAGACUUGGGCUUGGUUGAUCAUCCAGGGUUCUCCCUGGUGCACUCUUCCAGUUCAGGCCAGCAUCAGUUCGCUGUGGGGGAUAAAGGCUUUGGGAAUGUGGCUCCUUCGGGAGUGUUAUAGCCCAUUGUGUAAUACCCUGUGGUGGACUGAGGACCGCGCUUUUGCAAGGAUGCUGGCGUAAUGGUCAUCAGUGACCCGUCUUGAAACACGGACCAAGGAGUCGUCUUCGUAUGCGAGUGUUCGGGUGUUAAACCCCUACGCGUAAUGAAAGUGAACGCAGGUGAGAGCUUCGGCGCAUCAUCGACCGAUCCUGAUGUUCUCGGAUGGAUUUGAGUAAGAGCAUACGGGGCCGGACCCGAAAGAAGGUGAACUAUGCCUGUAUAGGGUGAAGCCAGAGGAAACUCUGGUGGAGGCUCGCAGCGGUUCUGACGUGCAAAUCGAUCGUCAAAUAUGGGCAUGGGGGCGAAAGACUAAU
rnacentral:rRNA from 1 species